rnacentral:rRNA from 1 species
UACGUAGGGUGCAAGCGUUGUCCGGAAUUAUUGGGCGUAAAGAGCUCGUAGGCGGUUUGUUGCGUCGGCUGUGAAAUCCCGAGGCUCAACCUCGGGUCUGCAGUCGAUACGAGCAAACUAGAGUGUUGCAGGGGAGACUGGAAUUCCUGGUGUAGCGGUGAAAUGCGCAGAUAUCAGGAGGAACACCAAUGGCGAAGGCAGCUUGCUGGGACGGUACUGACGCUGAGGCGCGAAAGCGUGGGGGAGCAAACAGG